UACGUAGGCAGCAAGCGUUGUUCGGAGUUACUGGGCGUAAAGGGUGUGUAGGCGGUUGUUUAAGUUUGGUGUGAAAUCUCCCGGCUCAACUGGGAGGGUGCGCCGAAUACUGAAUGACUAGAGUGCGGGAGAGGAAAGUGGAAUUCCUGGUGUAGCGGUGAAAUGCGUAGGUAUCAGGAGGAACACCGGUGGUGUAGACGGCUUUCUGGACCGUAACUGACGCUGAGACACGAAAGCGUGGGUAGCAAACAGG
rnacentral:rRNA from 1 species